UGUCUAGGCGGGGGAUUAAGUAAGGUGUGAAAGCCAUGAGCUCAACUCGUGAAUUGCACCUUAAACUGAUUCUCUUGAGUUAGGGAGAGGAGAGCGGAAUUCCUGGUGUAGCGGUGAAAUGCGUAGAUAUCAGGAAGAACACCAGUGGCGAAGGCGGCUCUCUAGCCUAUAACUGACGCUGAAGCACGAAAGCGUGGGGAGCGAACG
rnacentral:rRNA from 1 species